GUGGGGGACGGGAGGCCGAAGCGGUGGGCGACGCCGCGGAAGGGGGCAGCGUGGGCGAGGCGGAAGAGGGGCAGAAGAGGAGGAAGAAGAUGAAGGAGAGGGCUCUAGGGUUAGGGUUUCGAGGGAUUGGAGGGAACCGAAGGGAAGGAGGCAGAGAAGAGGGAGGAUUCGAGGGACAGGUUUUGGGAGGGGAGGAGGAGGAGGUCAGAGUCGGAGAGGAAGCGGAGGGAGAGGGAAACGGU
rnacentral:lncRNA from 1 species